UACGGAGGGUGCGAGCGUUGUCCGGAAUCACUGGGCGUAAAGGGUGCGUAGGCGGGUCUUUUAAGUCAGGGGUGAAAUCCUGGAGCUCAACUCCAGAACUGCCUUUGAUACUGAAGAUCUUGAGUUCGGGAGAGGUGAGUGGAACUGCGAGUGUAGAGGUGAAAUUCGUAGAUAUUCGCAAGAACACCAGUGGCGAAGGCGGCUCACUGGCCCGAUACUGACGCUGAGGCACGAAAGCGUGGGGAGCAAACAGG
rnacentral:rRNA from 1 species